GACGAACGCUGGCGGCGUGCUUAACACAUGCAAGUCGAACGAAGUGGCGAACGGGUGAGUAACGCGUAAUCAACCUGCCCUUCAGCGGGGGACAACAGUUGGAAAAGACUGCUAAUACCGCAUACUGAAGGAGGGGAUUGCGUCUGAUUAGCUAGUUGGGGGGGUAACGGCCCACCAAGGCGAUGGUCAGUAGCCGGCCUGAGAGGAUGAACGGCCACAUUGGGACUGAGACACGGCCCAGACUCCGACGGGAGGCAGCAGUGGGGAAUUUUGGACAAUGGGGGCAACCCUGAUCCAGCCAUCCCGCGUGUGCGAUGAAGGCCUUCGGGUUGUAAAGCACUUUUGGCAGGAAAGCGGUACCUGCAGAAUAAGCACCGGCUAACUACGUGCCAGCCGCCGCGGUAAUUC
rnacentral:rRNA from 1 species